AUGGUCCUUAGGAUAGAAGUGAGUCU
rnacentral:piRNA from 1 species